rnacentral:rRNA from 1 species
AGGCGCGCAAAUUACCCACUCCCGGCACGGGGAGGUAGUGACGAAAAAUAACGAUACGGGACUCAUCCGAGGCCCCGUAAUCGGAAUGAGAACAAUUUAAAUCCUUUAACGAGGAUCAAUUGGAGGGCAAGUCUGGUGCCAGCAGCCGCGGUAAUUCCAGCUCCAAUAGCGUAUAUUAAAGUUGUUGCGGUUAAAAAGCUCGUAGUCGAAUCUGUGUCCCGCGCCGCCGGUUCGUCGCUCGCGGCGUUUAACUGGCGUGUCCGCGGGACGUCCUGCCGGUGGGCUUAGCCUUUUCAUUAAGGCGGCCCAAUCUUAAUCCCGCCGCGGUGCUCUUCACCGAGUGUCGAGGCGGGCCGGCACGUUUACUUUGAACAAAUUAGAGUGCUUAAAGCAGGCUAAAACUUCGCCUGAAUACUUCGUGCAUGGAAUAAUGGAAUAGGACCUCGGUUCUAUUUUGUUGGUUUUCGGAACCCCGAGGUAAUGAUUAAUAGGAACGGAUGGGGGCAUUCGUAUUGCGACGUUAGAGGUGAAAUUCUUGGAUCGUCGCAAGACGGACAGAAGCGAAAGCAUUUGCCAAAAACGUUUUCAUUGAUCAAGAACGAAAGUUAGAGGUUCGAAGGCGAUCAGAUACCGCCCUAGUUCUAACCAUAAACNAUGCCAGCUAGCGAUCCGCCGANGUUNCUNCNAUGACUCGGCGGGCAGCUUCCGGGAAACCAAAGCUUUNGGGUUCCGGGGGAAGUAUGGUUGCAAAGCUGAAACUUAAAGGAAUUGACGGAAGGGCACCACCAGGAGUGGAGCCUGCGGCUUAAUUUGACUCAACACGGGAAACCUCACCAGGCCCGGACACCGGAAGGAUUGACAGAUUGAGAGCUCUUUCUUGAUUCGGUGGGUGGUGGUGCAUGGCCGUUCUUAGUUGGUGGAGCGAUUUGUCUGGUUAAUUCCGAUAACGAACGAGACUCA